rnacentral:piRNA from 1 species
UUAUAGUAUGUUGAUAAAAUC